rnacentral:rRNA from 1 species
UAACCUGCCCAAGAGAUCGGGAUAACACCUGGAAACAGAUGCUAAUACCGGAUAACAACAGAUGAUGCCUAUCAACUGUUUAAAAGAUGGUUCUGCUAUCACUCUUGGAUGGACCUGCGGUGCAUUAGCUAGUUGGUAGGGUAACGGCCUACCAAGGCGAUGAUGCAUAGCCGAGUUGAGAGACUGAUCGGCCACAUUGGGACUGAGACACGGCCCAAACUCCGUACGGGAGGCAGCAGCC